rnacentral:rRNA from 1 species
UACGUAGGGGGCAAGCGUUGUCCGGAAUCAUUGGGCGUAAAGAGCGUGUAGGCGGUUCGGUAAGUCGGCUGUGAAAGUCCAGGGCUCAACCCUGGGAUGCCGGUCGAUACUGCCGGACUAGAGUUCGGAAGAGGCGAGUGGAAUUCCCGGUGUAGCGGUGAAAUGCGCAGAUAGUCGGGAGGAACACCUAUGGCGAAGGCAGCUCGCUGGGACGUUACUGACGCUGAGAACGCGAAAGCGUGGGGAGCAAACAGG